GGUCCAACAGCACAGUGGUUAGUGCAUUUGCUUUACUUUCCGAGAAAGUCACAUAGUUUAAGCGAAAGGCCCCUGUUCGAUUCGGGUUGGGUCA